ACGGGUGAGUAAUGCAUCGGGACCUACCCAGACGUGGGGGAUAACGUAGGGAAACUUACGCUAAUACCGCAUACGUCCUACGGGAGAAAGCAGGGGAUCUUCGGACCUUGCGCGGUUGGACGGACCGAUGUGCGAUUAGCUAGUUGGUAAGGUAAUGGCUUACCAAGGCGACGAUCGCUAGCUGGUCUGAGAGGAUGAUCAGCCACACUGGAACUGAGACACGGUCCAGACUCCUACGGGAGGCAGCAGUGGGGAAUAUUGGACAAUGGGCGCAAGCCUGAUCCAGCAAUGCCGCGUGUGUGAAGAAGGCCCUCGGGUUGUAAAGCACUUUUAUCAGGAACGAAAUACCACGGGCUAAUACCCCAUGGGGCUGACGGUACCUGAGGAAUAAGCACCGGCUAACUUCGUGCCAGCAGCCGCGGUAAUACGAAGGGUGCAAGCGUUAAUCGGAAUUACUGGGCGUAAAGGGUGCGUAGGCGGUUUGUUAAGUCUGUUGUGAAAUCCCCGGGCUCAACCUGGGAAUGGCAAUGGAUACUGGCAAGCUAGAGUGUGUCAGAGGAUGGUGGAAUUUCCGGUGUA
rnacentral:rRNA from 1 species